GUUAUUACCCAGCAUCCCAUUUGUCCUUAUCCGCAAAGUACUACAUGACCCAUCAUGCACCUCUGGUAUUUCCCCACGGUCAGUCAGUCAGGUCUCGCGAAGGGUUUUCCGUCUUCAUGCUCGCAGAAUAACAAGCAGCACAUGUGUUACAUCACUGGUCCGUGGACAUUAAGUCAACAGCAUGUUAACCGAGGUGCUGGUUGCUCUGCUGGUUGGAGGGCUGCUCUACUUCCUGGUCCAGAGGAGCAGGACCCAGGUGCUGAGGACAGAGGACGGCUGGUGGGGGCCCGGUGCCCCUCCUGAUGGAGGGGAGGACAUCACCAUUCGUCCCUUUACAGUCAGCACUAGUGCUGAGGAGCUGGAGGAUCUGUACAGGAGGAUAGACCAGACUCGGCCUGUCCCCUCUCUGGAGGACAGCCACUUCACCUAUGGCUUCAACUCCCAGUGCCUGCAGACAGUGCUGUCUUACUGGAGAAAUAACUUUGACUGGAGGAGACAGGUGGACAGACUCAACCAGUACCCGCACUUUAAAACCAACAUUGAAGGCAUUGAUAUCCACUACCUGCAUGUGAAGCCCAAGACGGUGCCAGAGGGAUCCACUGCCCUUCCUCUGAUCAUGGUGCACGGCUGGCCCGGAUCCUUCUAUGACUUCUAUGGGUUGAUCCCUCUACUGACAGAACCAUCAGACCCCAGCCACCUCGUGUUUGAGGUGGUGUGUCCCUCCAUACCAGGCUAUGGUUUUUCAGAAGCACCACAUAAGAAAGGCUUAGAUUCCGUACGUGCCGCACACAUCUUCCACAAGCUGAUGAAGCGUUUGGGCUUUCAGCAGUUCUACGCUCAUGGAGGAGACUGGGGCUGGCUGGUCACUACCAACAUGGCCCAGCUGGAGCCCAGGAGCAUCAGAGGCUUGCAUGUGAACUUUGCCCCGCCCUCCAAUCCGGGGCUGCCCAUGACCCUGUCCCUCAUGCUGGGCCGUCGCUUCCCCAAGCUGUUUGGCUUCACUGACACGGACGUUGAGCGUCUCUUCCCCUGCAUGGAGAAACUGGUGAUCGAGUCCAUCAAAGAGUCUGGCUACAUGCACAUCCAGGCCACCAAGCCUGACACCGUGGGCCGAGGACUGAAUGACUCCCCAGUGGGUCUGGCUGCCUACAUCUUGGAGAAGUUCUCCACGUGGACGAAUCGUGACUUCAGGGACCUGGAGGACGGAGGACUCACCAGGAAGUUCUCCCUGGAUGACCUGCUGACCAACGUGAUGAUCUACUGGACGUCUGGCUGCAUCGUCUCCUCCAUGAGGUUCUACAAGGAAAACCUUGGCAAAGGCCUGAAUGCGCCUCACUCCAAGAUCCCUGUGGACGUUCCCACCGGCUUUGCCUGCUUCCCCAACGAGCUGACGCACACUCCCAAACUGUGGCUCAAACAGAAAUACCGCAACCUGGUGACCUUCACACCUAUGGCCCGCGGCGGCCAUUUUGCCGCCAUGGAGGAGCCCCAGCUGAUGGCCGAGGACAUCCAGAACUUCACCAAGAUAGUGGAGAAGCAGCGGGCUGUGUAGUGAUCCAAUAUUAUGACAGCUAAGAUUAGAAACUUGUUCUCACUGACCCGCCAUGCUGUCUUAAUACCCAUAAGGCAUUUGGUGAGUCAAAACAAAAGCACUCAUUUUGACUGGAUUUUGGAAAAGCACAGCUGAAAUUGAUAACAUAUGUCUUAGUAUACUAUUUCAGUAAGUUGCAUGCACAAUACCAGGGCCUCUACUAAGUGGAUUGAGCCAUCUUUAAUGGUUUGCAGACACCUGUGCUACUACGAUAUGUCAACAUGUCUUCUGUGAAAAAGCCCUAUAGCAGGUGUUGUAAAGAGCAGCAGUCUGCAUGGUGUUGCUGUGGUCUGGAGGAGGAGCUGUGCUGGGGGUCCCUAACACUGAUGUCUCACUCAGAACUCCCUCAGCCUUUUAGUAUUAGUAUUACACAGUUUACUCGGCAGCUGCAGAUGGGAGGUCAGGGGCCACCUGGUGGUAUUGUGUUGACAGCCUGGACAAGGUGCCAGACAUUCCUCACACUGAUAACACGGAGCCUCAGACCUCUGAGUUUGGCUGGAUUUCUUACAACUCAUUCCAUGUCUUUAAUGUAAAACCCAGCAUUCACUUAACAUCCCGUCUCUUUGAUUAACUUUGAUUUGCUUCAAAUACUACAAUUCACACUGCUUACUUUAUUGCUGUACCAACCGUGAAAAUAAAGAGUUAAUCAUCAUGUUGA